GGGGAUGUGGUGUAACGGUAGCAUCGGAUGGGUUAGUAGGUAAGCAGGAAUUCUAGACUCUCCGGUAGAAGUAACUAGCCAACGGGCGGUACAGCCCGUGGUUGUAGGUUCGACUCCUGCCGUCCCCA
rnacentral:tRNA from 1 species